UUUUCUCUUUAGUUUCUUUGUUAAGAUACUUAGUUGAAAAUGAACUAAGUUGGUAUUGUUUUGAUGUUUUUAGGUGCUGAUUGACAUAAUCAGCUUGUGUGCAAGUUAAGUUUUACUUGUUUCAAAGUAAAACUAGUGGUAGUAGGUAGUAUUUGGUGAUGUAUUUGACUAUAUAUAUGUUGUUUUUCUAGUUGACUGAAUGAGCUGAAUGAGCUAUCAGCCAUUAGCUCCCUUACUGCACGUUUGUGAGCAAGUAAAUUGUUUUUGUUUCUUCCUCAUUUGUUCUCUAUCUUGUUCUGUUUCUUUUUGCUGCUGCCAUUGUUCCAACAAAUGGUAUCAUGAGCCUAAGUCUUAAGGGACUAUUGAUUUUGCUUCCCCUGCUCAACAUCAGCUCAAACUUAUAAGACCCCUAAACAAGCUUGAAUAAGCUGAAGGAGGAGUUUUAAGGAAAGGUGUGAGCUUUCCAAAUGUGCAAGCUUAGCAAGAUGUCAAAGCUGCAAGCUUAGCAAAGUGCGAGCUGUUCAAGACACCUGUUGAAGACAAUAUGCAAAGAUGUGAGUCUGUCAAAGGUGUGAGUUCAGCAACAUGUGGAAGCUCAAUGUGUGUUGUAUAGUUGCAAGCCUAUUGAAGACAGUAAGCAAAGUGUGAGCUUGUCGAAUUGCAAGCCAAAAUGGCAGAAUGAAGGCAAGCAAACUAUACUCAAAAACUGUUUGUGCAAGAAGAAGCAAAGAAACAAGGCAAGAUGUGUUGUCAACCAAGGCUGUGAAUUAGGAGGAGAAGACUCCAUUUGGUGAACAAAUCUUUGACACAAAAGACUGGGAUAGUCAAGUGUGCAAGUCAGAUUUGUUGUGUGAAUGAAUCCAAGGUUGAAAAUGAAUUGGUCAGCUUGAAACAAAGCAUCUAAGGGCUGCCAAGUUCAAAAACUUGAUGAAUGAUAUGUAUUUGCAGCAUGGAGUCCAAGGAGGAGUGUUGAAAUUGGCCAACCAUGCUGCUGUUUGAAGUGCAUGCAGCUUGAUGACAUGCUGCAGUGUUAGUACAAAACUCCGGUAAGGAAAAAACUCGAACACACGAUUGGAACUCGAAAAGAAAAAGAAAAAAUAGGACAGGCUCCAAGGCGUGUAUCAAGCCACCAUCUUUAAGGUUAUAUUCGCCCCCACUUAUCUUCAGUGUGCAAACGAGUUCCAAGCAAAUUAACCUCGAAGAUACAAUGAAGGCAAUGACUAUUUGCGUUUUGCACUGACGAGAAUAGUCCACUAUGCACUGAGUAAUGUAUAACAAAAACUCAAUUUCUACAAAGGAUUUCUGCAGCAAUACUUUAUAGAAUAAUCUAAUAAUAUUAGAAAAUGAAGGAAGAGAAGAAAUAAUAUUAGAAUUUGUUGAUAUGAUUUCCAAAUGAAAUCCCAUUCCUAUUUAUAGGAAUUUUCAUGUCUCUUCAUAGAGACAUCUUUCAAUAGGUGUCUUUAUGAAUAAAUAAAUAAUAAUAAUUAUUCAUUUAAUUUUGUAACUAUUCAAAUAAUAUUUUUUGAAUAGUUAUAAUUCUUUUUUAAAAAAUCAAAUGAUAUAACUUUUGACCAAUGACCAAAAGUUUUAUCUUUUGAUUAAUUACACCCAUUCAUUUAUAGUUAUUGGGAUACUAUAAAUAUUUGAAAAUAUUCCAACAAUCUCCCCCCAUUUUCAAAAUAUUUAGAUUUUGAUAUUCUUGGAAAUCAAUUUGCAUAAAUAAAGGUGUCUUACGAUUGAACCUUCACUUAGUGAAAACAUGUUAAAGUUAAUCGAAAUUGUAUGGUAGACUAAGCUUUGAACCAACUAUUCCAUUUGAUUAACUGAACACAUCUCACACAAUGAUUUCAACAUCAGUCAAUGCAUAGUAUCUAGGGACACUAUUAUAGCCAUGUGUCUAUGUCCUCUUUUCAUGAGUGCUGUCAGAGCCAAGCCCUUAAGCUCCUAGAAGCGGCCACAAUUCCACUCACAUAGGUAGAUCCCAUCAAAAGUGUUCCCGUAAUUAUAACACUCUAACAUAUUUAUGUUAUGGGUCCAUUAAGAGUACAUUACUCAUCCUUCCCUUAUCAUUACGGGUACCUAGCACUUUAAUCUUAGGAUGGAUUUAUUUAUAGUGCUAACAGUCACAUACUAAUGAUGUACUUUGUCUCAUUGAACUCAAGACUUGACGUUAUACCAAGCGUUGAGUCGAGUUUCCAUCAUGGGUGACUCUAAUUAAUAGGCUUGAGUCCCAUCCCUUUUGAGGUCCUUUUUACUGCAUCUCUAGCAAUACUUUUUGUCAAAGGAUCUGCCAAAUUUUCACUUGACCUCACAUAAUUAAUAGUGAUCACUCCAUCAGAGAUUAAUUGUCGGACAUAACUAUGUCUUAAUCCAAUGUGUCUAGACUUUCCAUUAUAUACUUGGCUAUAUGCCUUUGCUAGAGUAGCCUCACUAUCACAACGGAUAGAAAUAGGUGAAAUUGGCUUAAGCCAUAAAGGUACAUCAUAAAGCAAAUUUCUUAACCAUUCUGCUUCUUUAGAUGCAGCGGCUAAUGCAAUAAAUUCUGCUGCCAUGGUGGAAUCGGUAAUACAUGUUUGUUUCUUGGAACCCCAAGAAAUGACUCCUCCACCAAGAAUGAAGAUCCACCCACUAGUAGAUGCAUGAUCUUCCAAACUUGUAAUCCAACUAGCAUCCGAAUACCCUUUUAAAACUGGAGGAUAUCCAUUAUAACACAAUCCAUAGUUAAUAGUUUUCUUUAAGUACCUAAGUACUCUAUUUAAAGCUUGCCAAUGCAAACUACUUGGAUUACUUGUGUAUCUACUCAAUUUUCCAAUAGCAUAUGCAAUAUCUGGUCUUUUACAAGUCAUUAUGUACAUAAGACAACCAAUUAGACUUGCAUAUUUCAAUUGAUCAAUUUUCCUACCAGCAUUAGAUACUAAUUUUAAUUGAGGAUCCAUGGGUGUAGAUGCUGGUAUACAGUUGAAAAGAUCAAACUUUUUAAGCACAUUUUCAAUGUAAUGUGAUUGUGAUAAAGCUAUAGUGCUUUCAUCUCGGGUUAUUUUAAUCCCAAGAAUAACAUCUGCUACACCCAUAUCCUUCAUAGCAAAGUUGUUUGACAAGAAUUUCUUUGUGUUUUCUAUUUGUUCCAAAUCCGUGCCAAAAAUGAGCAUGUCAUCUACAUAUAAGCAAAUUAUAACACCCUUUCCAUUAUCAAAUUUACUAUAUAUGCACUUAUCGGAUUCAUUUAUUUUAUAGCCAUUAGCUAAAACAACCUUGUCAAACUUUUGGUGCCAUUGUUUUGGUGCUUGUUUAAGCCCAUAUAAAGAUUUAACAAGCUUACAUACCUUAUGCUCUUGUCCUGGAACAACAAAUCCUUCCGGUUGCUCCAUGUACACUUCCUCUUCCAAUUCACCAUUUAAAAAUGCAGUUUUAACAUCCAUUUGGUGAACAACCAAAUUAUAUAUAGAGGUAAGUGAUAUUAAUAGUCUAAUUGUAGCAAUUCUUGCUACUGGAGCAUAGGUAUCGAAGUAAUCAAUACAUUGUCUUUGUGUAAAACCUUUUGCUACCAACCUUGCUUUAAAUUUAUCAAUGGUUCCAUCGACCUUCAUUUUCUUUUUGAAGAUCCAUUUACAACCUAUUGGUUUGGAACCUGGUGGAAGAUCAACUAAGAUCCAAGUUUGAUUUCCCAUUAUUGAAUCCAUUUCAUCAUUUAUUGCUUCUUUCCAAAAAGCAGAGUCUUGAGAUUUCACUGCUUCUUCAAAUGUAAUAGGAUCAGAUUCGGUAUUAUAACAAUAAGGUAUCUUAUUGCAUAUACUUUCACCUUUUCCUUCUACAAGAAACAUAAUGAAAUUUGGUCCAAAAUCUUUGACCUUUUUAAUCCUCUUACUUCUUCUUAAUUCUUGACAAGAUUCAUCAUUAUUAUCAAUUUGUUUCAAUGGAAUCUCAUUCUCAUUUGAAGAAUGAAUCAAUUGUUGUGGUUGUAAUUGUCUUGAUAUAGAAUUAAAUCUAUUUUCAUCAAAAAUAGCAUCUCUUGAUUCAAUAACCGUAUUAAUUGAAAUUGAAUCAUUUGGUUCAAUUACUAUGAACCUAUAUGCCUUGCUAUUAUGUGCAUAACCUAUAAAUAUGCAUUCAAUUCCUCUUUCACCUAACUUUUUACGUUUAGGUGUUGGAACUUUUACAAUAGCUCUACAACCCCAAACCUUUAAAUAAUUAAGGUUUGGUUUCCUUUUCUUCCAUUGUUCAUAGGGGGUUAUUUUAGUUUCCUUAUUAGGAACUCUAUUCAAUAUAUGACAAGCUGUUAGAACAGCUUCUCCCCAAAAACCCUGUCCAAGACCUGAAUAUGAUAACAUUGAAUUUACCAUUUCAAUCAAGACUCUAUUUUUCCUUUCAGCUACACCAUUUUGUUGUGGUGUGUAAGGGGCUGAAACUUGAUGGACAAUUCCAGUGAGUUCAAAAUAACUUGGAUUAUAGUAUUCUCCACCUCUAUCCGAUCUUAAGCACUUGAUAAAUGAUUCACACUGAAGUUCAACUUCAGAUUUAUAAACUUUAAAUUUAUCAAGCGCUUCAUCUUUUGAAUGUAAUAAAUAUACAUAACAAUAUCUAGAACAAUCAUCAAUAAAAGUAACAAAAUAUUUCUUUCCACCUAAUGUAGGAGUAUUAUGCAAGUCACAUAAAUCACUAUGUAUCAAAUCAAGCAAUUUUGCUUUCAUUUUAACCUUAGGAUUUUAGUCAACAUACAGGUAUUGCAUUUUUCAAUAUUAUUAUUAAAAACAGGAAUUAAAUCUAAUUUAUACAUGUCAUUCAAUUUUCUAUAAUUCAAAUGACCUAAUCUAUAAUGCCACAAACAAAAUGAUUCAACCAUAUAAGCAGAAAUAGUAUUUUUAUUCUUAUUAAUAAUAUUAAGUUUGAACAUGCUUUCAUACAUAUACCCUUUUCCCACAAAAAUUCCUCCCUUAGACAAAAUAAACUUAUCUGCCUCAAAAACAAGUUUGAAACCAAACUUAUUCAACAGACUUUCAGUCACUAAAUUUUUCCUAACUUCUGGUACAUAAUAUACAUCAUUUAAGGUUAAAACCUUUCCAGAAGUGAAUUGUAGUUCAACAGACCCUUUACCUUUAAUUGUUGCGGUGGAAGAAUUUCCCAUGUACAAGACAUUGUCAUUUUCACAUUGUGUGAACUUUGUGAACAUGCUUUUGUCUUUGCACACAUGUUUGGUUGCUCCGGUAUCAAUCCACCAUGUAUUAUCAUCUUGUGCCAUAUUAAUUUCAGAUAUCAUUGCAACGAACUUUUUGUUAUUAUCAGCCUUAGAAGAUGAUUUCUUCUUUAAAAAUCGACAUUCAUUCUUGAAAUGUCCCGGCUUUCCACAAUGAUAGCAUGAGCCCUUUUGUUUUUUUUUUUGAACUUAGGUGCUCUAUCAGUCUGAUUGAACUUUCUCUUGAAUGGUUUAGUAGUCUGUACUUCCUCCGUAACAUGUACUUUGGCAUUUUCAGAAUUUAGGUUCUGAUCUUGUUUUCGAUACUCUUCUUCAAUACGAAGAUGAUUUGCCAAAGCCUCAAGAGAUAUUUCCUCUUUCUUAUGUUUUAGACUUCUUUUAAAGUCUUUCCAAGAUGGAGGAAGUUUGUCUAUUAUGGAGGAUACCACAAUCAUUUCAUCCAUUUUCAUAUCAUAUUGCUUAAAUUGAUUCAGCAUCUUUUCAAUAUCACGAAAUUGUUCCAUAACAGAACGACCAUCAACCAUUUGAUAAUUAUUGAAACGACUGACAAGAAAUUUCUUACUUGUAACAUCUUCGGUCAUGUAUCUUGCCUCCAAUUUGUCCCAUAAUUCUUUAGCGGUGACGUCGUUUUGGUAGGUGUCGAACAAACCAUCAGAUAAACCAUUCAAUAUGUGGCCCAUGCACAUGUAAUCAGCAUUGUCCCAUUUUUGUCUUUCUCGGGUUGCAGCAACAGAUUCAUUUUCAUUCUCUUCAGGUCUUGGAGUAUCCAAAACAUAAGCAAUCUUCAAAGUUGAUAACAAAAAGUGCAUCUUUUUCUGCCAUCGUCGAAAAUUGCCACCAUCAAAACGAUCAAGUUUAACAAAGUUGGAAGCCAACUCCUUUAGUGUUCCACUUUCAUGUGUUGUGGUAGUCAUCAUGAAAUAUAACCUUAAAAUUGUUAGUACAAAACUCCGGUAAAGAAAAAAACUCAAACACACGAUCGGAACUCGAAAAGAAAAAGAAGAAAUAGGACAGGCUCCAAGGCGUGUAUCAAGCCACUAUCUUUAAGGUUAUAUUCGCCCCCACUUAUCUUCAGUGUGCAAACGAGUUCCAAGCAAAUUAACCUCGAGGAUACAAUGAAGCCAAUGACUAUUUGCGUUUUGCACUGACGAGAAUAGUCCACUAUGCACUGAGUAAUGUAUAACAAAAACUCAAUUUAUACAAAGGAUUUCUGCAGCAAUACUUUAUAGAAUAAUCUAAUAAUAUUAGAAAAUGAAGGAAGAGAAGAAAUAAUAUUAGAAUUUGUUGAUAUGAUUUCCAAAUGAAAUCCCAUUCCUAUUUAUAGGAAUUUUCAUGUCUCUUCAUAGAGACAUCUUUCAAUAGGUGUCUUUAUGAAUAAAUAAAUAAUAAUUGUUUAUUUAAUUUUGUAACUAUUCAAAUAAUAUUUUUUGAAUAGUUAUAAUUCUUUUUUAAAAAAUCAAAUGAUAUAGCUUUUGACUAAUGACCAAAAGUUUUAUCUUUUGAUUAAUUACACCCAUUCAUUUAUAGUUAUUGGGAUACUAUAAAUAUUUGAAAAUAUUCCAACAUGCAGCACGUAUACUUGCUGUAACAGCAAGGUUUUCUCUUUAGUUUCUUUGUUAAGCUACUUAGUUGAAAAUGAACUAAGUUGGUAUUAUUUUGAUGUUUUUAGGUGCUGAUUGACAUAAUCAGCUUGUGUGCAAGUUAAGUUUUACUUGUUUCAAAGUAAAACUAGUGGUAGUAGGUAGUAUUUGGUGAUGUAUUUGACUAUAUAUAUGUUGUUUUUCUAGUUGACUGAAUGAGCUGAAUGAGCUAUCAGCCAUUAGCUCCCUUGCUGCACGUUUGUGAGCAAAUAAAUUGUUUUUGUUUCUUCCUCCUUUG
rnacentral:lncRNA from 1 species